AUCAAUCUCCUAGUAUAGAUUUUUCUAGCCUAACAUGAUGGGAAGAAGAAAAGAAGAACAUAACAAUGAAAAUCAACAAAAGACAUCACCCUAUUGAAAUUCUUGAAGUGAAAUCUUAAAUCUUGGAUUGAAUCUUCUUGUUCCUCCUUCUUGCUCUUCAAAUCCUUCCAAAAUAAUGUAUGAUGUGUGGUGUAUGUUUUUGAACGUCCCUAGGGCUUCAAAAGACUCCCAAGAUUUAUUUCCAUAAGAGUUUUAAUCGGAAAAGGAAACCAGAAAAUUUUCACCACGAUUGGCCUAGGCUGUCGCUCAGGCAAAACCCGAGCUGUCACCCAGGCAACAUUUUCUUCUCGAUAAUUAAAAAAAACAUAUGGGGCGAUUGCCCGGUUUUUAUAACUGGGCUGUCGCCCAGGCAAAAUUUCUUCCAUAUGUUGCAUUUUAGCCCUUGAAGUCGAUUUUUGAUUCUU
rnacentral:lncRNA from 1 species